rnacentral:pre_miRNA from 1 species
AAUGUUUGACCGUUCGUUUUAUUUGAAAUUUUUUUAUGAUUAGUAUUUUUAUUGUUAUUAGUAGAUGAUAAAACAUGAAAAAAAAUAUUUUUUGUGUCACUAUUUUUUUUAUUUUUUAUAAACUUUUUAAAUAAGACGGACGGUCAAAUGUU